CAGCUGAAUAUCUGAUGUACUUUUGGGAGUUUUUACCACUCUCAACCAAAGGCCUGUCAUGCAGGAAAAACGAGCAUUUUACAUCAUCUCAACUUUCCUAUGGAAUUAACAACAUACGAAAUACUGUGUUUCAUCUCAUAUGACACUAUUACAUAUUUGAGCAUUUUACAUCAUCGCAACUUUCCUACGGAAUUAACAACAUAGGGAAUACUCUUAUGUUUCAUCUCAUAUGACACUAUUACAUAUUUUGUUAAGUAUAAAACUUGUGACUUAUAGUACUACUUUAUGUAGCUUCUAACUGUGUAAAAUUUAUUCAGGAAAGAGUAAAGACUGGAUUUACAUAAUUAGAAGGUUAUACCCUCCUAGCAAUGCGACUUAUUUAAAGCAUGAAGCAAAAGAACGCUCUGUGUCACACAUUUGAAAGAUGUCAAGUGAUCAAAUAGUCUUAUUUUUUCUGUUUUUCUAUUUAUCGUCUGAAUAGUGAGAUUGAAUUUGAAUGAAGAGUUAAUAGAAGAUGGAAUUGAAAUCUUGUUUCAUCUUCACUUGACUAUCUAGCAACA
rnacentral:lncRNA from 1 species